rnacentral:rRNA from 1 species
CUGGAGGUAUCAGAAGUGCGAAUGCUGACAUAAGUAACGAUAAAGCGGGUGAAAAGCCCGCUCGCCGGAAGACCAAGGGUUCCUGUCCAACGUUAAUCGGGGCAGGGUGAGUCGACCCCUAAGGCGAGGCCGAAAGGCGUAGUCGAUGGGAAACAGGUUAAUAUUCCUGUACUUGGUGUUACUGCGAAGGGGGGACGGAGAAGGCUAUGUCAGCCGGGCGACGGUUGUCCCGGUUUAAGCAUGUAGGCGGAGGUUCCAGGUAAAUCCGGUACCUUAUUAACGCUGAGGUGUGAUGACGAGGCACUACGGUGCUGAAGUGAUAAAUGCCCUGCUUCCAGGAAAAGCCUCUAAGCAUCAGGUAACACGAAAUCGUACCCCAAACCGACACAGGUGGUCAGGUAGAGAAUACCAAGGCGCUUGAGAGAACUCGGGUGAAGGAACUAGGCAAAAUGGUGCCGUAACUUCGGGAGAAGGCACGCUGAUGUGUAGGUGAAGCCCCUGCGGGUGGAGCUGAAAUCAGUCGAAGAUACCAGCUGGCUGCAACUGUUUAUUAAAAACACAGCACUGUGCAAACACGAAAGUGGACGUAUACGGUGUGACGCCUGCCCGGUGCCGGAAGGUUAAUUGAUGGGGUUAGCGGCAACGCGAAGCUCUUGAUCGAAGCCCCGGUAAACGGCGGCCGUAACUAUAACGGUCCUAAGGUAGCGAAAUUCCUUGUCGGGUAAGUUCCGACCUGCACGAAUGGCGUAAUGAUGGCCAGGCUGUCUCCACCCGAGACUCAGUGAAAUUGAACUCGCUGUGAAGAUGCAGUGUACCCGCGGCAAGACGGAAAGACCCCGUGAACCUUUACUAUAGCUUGACACUGAACACUGGUCCUUGAUGUGUAGGAUAGGUGGGAGGCUUUGAAGCGUGGACGCCAGUCUGCGUGGAGCCGACCUUGAAAUACCACCCUUUAAUGGCUGGUGUUCUAACGUAGACCCGUUACCCGGGUUGCGGACAGUGUCUGGUGGGUAGUUUGACUGGGGCGGUCUCCUCCCAAAGAGUAACGGAGGAGCACGAAGGUUGGCUAAUCCUGGUCGGACAUCAGGAGGUUAGUGCAAUGGCAUAAGCCAGCUUGACUGCGAGCGUGACGGCGCGAGCAGGUGCGAAAGCAGGUCAUAGUGAUCCGGUGGUUCUGAAUGGAAGGGCCAUCGCUCAACGGAUAAAAGGUACUCCGGGGAUAACAGGCUGAUACCGCCCAAGAGUUCAUAUCGACGGCGGUGUUUGGCACCUCGAUGUCGGCUCAUCACAUCCUGGGGCUGAAGUAGGUCCCAAGGGUAUGGCUGUUCGCCAUUUAAAGUGGUACGCGAGCUGGGUUUAGAACGUCGUGAGACAGUUCGGUCCCUAUCUGCCGUGGGCGCUGGAGAAUUGAGGGGGGCUGCUCCUAGUACGAGAGGACCGGAGUGGACGCAUCACUGGUGUUCGGGUUGUCAUGCCAAUGGCACUGCCCGGUAGCUAAAUGCGGAAGAGAUAAGUGCUGAAAGCAUCUAAGCACGAAACUUGCCCC